UAUCCAAAGCAUAGAUCAAAGUUCCGAUACCUCCAGCUGCUAAUCCAACACACGUUGCAAGCUGAAAUAUGUAGAUACCAGAUACUGGCAUGUUGAACUACACUGUUAUUAUCUUAAAUAUACGUAUUGUUGCAGUUGUAACUUACUACCAGAAAAUGAUGAACGUGGAAGUAAGGAAUAGGGAUAGGGCAAUGGAUCUGCGAAUAACUACUAGCAUGAUUACUCUCUUAAUAUACAACAAAUAUGGUAAAUCAGUUAUCAGGGAUAUAAGGAGGAAACUGAUAUGACAUUUCUCACAACUGUUAAAUGACAAUGACUGGAAAACUGUUAAAAAAAAUCUGAUCAAUUACGCAACGGUAGUUCGAAAAAAUCAUACAAGAGAAAGAAGUUAUAAGUCUUCAAGAAAAACGCAGCAGACGAUAUAAAAGAAUAA